UAAUUUUUAUUUUCGAAAAUUUAUCAUAAUAUUUAUAUAUUAAGCACACAGAAAAAUGUAUAGGAAAACAAUUGAUACAAAGAAACAAUUACAAAAAUAUAUGAUAGGUCAACAUAAUGUGGCCAAUCACGUGAAAAGGUGCAGAUCAUUCAUUGUGUAACCACAACCAUUGAUGAAAGUUAAUCUAACGGACACAAAUGCACAAAGAUUAAAACCCCCAAUUUGUUCUUCUAUCUCCUCCUCUUCCCUCUUUCCGUGAAAAAUCUGAUCGAAUUGCUUCUCCCUGCCAUGAAGUUCACAUCGUCUCAAGCUCCCUGCCAUGAAGUUCACCACCUCGCCUCUGCUAGACUCUCCUCGCUUCAUCUCGACUCUCCUUUGACUUCAAUGGACGCGGAGAUGGUGAAGCCUCGGAAGCUGCGUCGGAGAAGGCGCGAAAACUGUAGUGGAGGAGACCCUGAGGCCGGAAGCAGAGACGACGACGUCUCCUGUCAAGGCUGGAGGAGGCCAGGCGCAUCACUGUUGGAGGAGGCGGCUGGAGUGUUCCUUUGUAUUUUAGGUUUAGUGUUUUUUUUUUUUUUAGGGUUUUUUGGUUUAUUGUAAACCUAAUUGGAGAAAUUGUGGUGGUUUACUUUAUUUUUUAAUUUCUGGUUUAGUUUUGUAAACCGAAAUUUAUUUAUAAAACAAUUUUAAUUUAUGGAUAAAUUUAUUUUAUUUUUAAUUAUAAAGUAAUUUUCAGU